AUGAACGCUGGCGGCGUGCUUAACACAUGCAAGUCGAACGAGAGAGCUCCUACGCGGAGUGAGUACAGUGGCGAACGGGUGCGUAACACGUUGGUGACUGCCUUGACGAGGGCGACAACCGUGGGAAACCACGGCUAAUACCCCGCGAUGUCUAACCUGUUAGAGGGUUUAGACUAAAACUUCGGUGCCUCAAGAGGGGCCUGCUGGCUAUCAGCUUGUCGGCGCGGUAAUGGCCUACCAAUGCUAACACGGCUAGGGGGCGUGAGAGCGCGACCCCCCACAAUGGAACUGAGACACGGUCCAUACUCCUACUGUGAGUGCAGCAGUGAGGAAUAUUGCGCAAUGGGGGAAACCCUGACGCAGCAACGCCGCGUGAACGAUGAAGGCCUUCGGGUCGUAGAGUUCUUUUCUAAGGGAAGAUAGUGACGGUACCUUAGGAAUAAGUCCCGGCUAACUACGUGCCAGCAGGCGCGUGUAAAACGUAGGGGGCGAGCGUUAUCCGGAUUUAUUGGGCGUAAAGCGCACGUAGGUGGCGCUGUAAGUUAGACGUGAAAGCUCUCGGCUCAACUGAGAGAGGUCGUUUAAAACUGCAGUGCUUGAGGUUAGAAGAGGAGAGCAGAAUUUCCCGGUGUAGUGGUGGAAUGCGUAGAUAUCGGGAGGAAUACCAGUGGCGAAGUCGGCUCUCUAGUCUACACCUGACACUGAGGUGCGAAAGCGUGGGUAGCGAACGGGAUUAGAUACCCCGGUAGUCCACGCUGUAAACGAUGGAUACUAGAUGUAGGGGGUCAUUUAACCCCUCUGUGCCGAAGCAUACGCGUUAAGUAUCCCGCCUGGGGACUACGGCCGCAAGGUUAAAACUCAAAGGAAUUGACGGGGGCCCGCACAAGCAGCGGAGCGUGUGGUUUAAUUCGAUGAUACGCGAAGAACCUUACCUGGGCUGAACUACGUGGUAGUAGUGAAGCGCAAGCGGAUCGACCCUUCGGGGAGCCUCGAUAGGUGCUGCAUGGCUGUCGUCAGCUCGUGUCGUGAGAUGUUGGGUUAAGUCCCGCAACGAGCGCAACCCUCGUCGCUAGUUACAAGUGUCUAGCGAGACUGCCGGUAUCAAANCCGGAGGAAGGUGGGGAUGACGUCAAGUCAGCAUGCUCUUUAUCUCCAGGGCUACACACACGCUACAAUGGUCGGUACAAUAGGUUCCCACACCGCGAGGUGGAGCUAAUCCU
rnacentral:rRNA from 1 species